rnacentral:rRNA from 1 species
UACGGAGGGUGCAGGCGUUAUCCGGAUUCACUGGGUUUAAAGGGUGCGUAGGUGGGCAGGAAAGUCAGUGGUGAAAUCUCCGGGCUUAACCCGGAAACUGCCGUUGAUACUAUUUGUCUUGAAUAUUGUGGAGGUAAGCGGAAUAUGUCAUGUAGCGGUGAAAUGCUUAGAUAUGACAUAGAACACCAAUUGCGAAGGCAGCUUACUACACAAUGAUUGACGCUGAGGCACGAAAGCGUGGGGAUCAAACAGG